rnacentral:lncRNA from 1 species
UGGAUUCAAAAACACAUAUAGAUGCAAUACAUAAAUGUUGUUUUCAUACAGUUUUUCGAUUCAUAUUGUACACUUUGUAAAUCAUCUGAAUUAGUUUACCUUUGUAGUGUUUAUAUUUGUGUAUGCCAUGCAACAUUUUUUAUUAAAGUAAGCUCUUUUCAAAAUAAAUAAUAACAUUGGGCGUUAAGGAAAAGUAAACGUGACCACUAUUGACUAAUGAAUAUCUUCAAAUAGGUCAGAAUAGUAUUACAAUUAUACAUGAUAUAGACAAGAGCGUUUCCUGGUAGUAUGAUCAAAACCAAAAAGUAAUGAAAUAUUCUUGAAAUAAUAGCCUCACAUACUGCGAAGUUGAUAUAUCUCUGGUCCAUGCCCCAAAUUUGAAUAAGAAAACUGAACAAUAACAUUUGACCACCGUUUGAAAAAUCGCUUCACAUAUGUUCGUGUAAUAGCCUAAAGGAGCCUAAACGUUCAUAAUGUCACGAGAAAUAUUAAGAAGGUGCGCUGGUGCGCAAUUGGUCUUCCAUUGUCCUGCGAGAAUCUCUAAUGUGUUCAUCAACUAAAUUAUCAUAGAACUACAAUGUAAUAGAAUUACAAAUUAAUUAAAUAACACCAGAAACUAAUGACUUACUUUUCAGUUUGUUUUCUUUAAUCAAUUAUACCAUGUUGCUGAAUUUAGGCUGCAAAUCAAUUAACGUUAUAAAAACAAAAUUCAUCUAAACACUAAAAGGAUUGAAUUGGAAAUGAAAGAACACAUUGAAACAAAAACGGACAGUCUAAGGAACACAUUUUUGCAUUCUGCAAGCUUGAUUUACUAAUGCAACAUUGCUAAGAUUUUCAUAUUUUUUUUUUAUUUUGAAGAAAAAACUAAACUGAUAUUAUCAGAAUUCCCGAGGAAUUCGUUUAGUUCAACCAUCAUCAGUUUCAAUGUUUUAGUUAGGUAGUGUAAGUUUUGCUAACAGAUUUUUAUAUCAACUACGAUGAACGCUGUAAAAUGUAUAUCUCCUAAUAUGUCUCCAUUAUAUAUGGAUGUAAGCACUAUGUAGAUAUAAGUUACGCAGUCAUGUGAUGUAAACCCAACAGGAACCAAGGUAUAUGCAAUAACAUGUACGUUGAAAGGAUGUGACCUAAUUGUCGUCUUUAUAAAACCUUAUUUCACGCUAGCACAAGCGAAUAAGUCGUUUUCCUCAACACAAUCCAAUUCUCUAUUUAAGAGACCAAAGAAAACAUUCAUAACAUCUCAGAUUACUUAUUGUCAAUGUUAGGGACGUAGUAAAAUACUGGUUUAGAAAUAGGCCAAAUAUUGUGUAUAUAUAUGUAUGGAUAUGUUCACAGAUUUUCGGUAUGCAAGCACCAUUUUUUAGGGCGGUGCAGGAUUAAAUGUUUGUUUAUGAAUCUCCACUGAUAGAUAGGUGUGCAGUAAAUGCAUACGUGUGUUUGUGCUGGAUGUAAAGGACUAAUAAAUGUAUGUAUAGGAAAAUUGGCACAAGUAGGUAGGCGUACAGCAAACAUCAAAGUACAAUGUGAGUGUGUUACGGUAGUACAUGAUAAACUUUAUAUUUGUUUAUAAUCAUUCGUUCUUUUGUAUAUGUGUACAGUUAGUUAUGCUAAUAAUUCCAUACAGGUCUUUGGGUUAAAUGUACAUGAACAUAUAUUUACAUAUAAUGAAAGAAUAGGGAAACGCAUGGUAAACAUUUGAGGUAAUAUAAUGUUAUGUAUUUGAAUGUUACUGUAAAUACAAUGUUUUAUAUUAAGUAUAAAAAGGUCGUCUUAAAUAAACAAUCACCAGAACUUCAUUAGAUUAUGACCGAUUAUUCAUGAGUAAUUGAAGAACAUUUGACAGGACCCCCUCCCCCUCACCAAUAUUGCAACAUGAAAUCGCCCGACUCAGUAUCUCUCGUAUGCCCCCUAGCGCAUCUGUCACAGUCAAUCAGUGCCUUUCUAACGGGGGUAUUGACCACUCUUCUAAUAAGGCAGCCCUUAAUUGGUUCGUCGAGAGUAGCGGGGGCAUUCCGACGCCCCCUUAUCCUCCUGUCAAGUUAGUCCCAGAAAUGUUCGAUUGCUGACGGUACGGCUGCCAGCCGAGUUGGUUAAUAUUAUGGUUUUAUGGUCUUGACAAACUCUGGCUACACCGCCGGAUAUUAUCAUGCUGGAAACUUAGGUGAUGCUGUUGCAAAAAUGGAACUGCAACCAGGCAGAGGAAUCAUCCUUAUAUCUUACGGCUGUUAAAUUUCCGGCUACCACAAUCAAUGGUGACUUAAGAAAUCACUCCCAAGACCAUAAUCGAACCUCCCCGAAACCUAUCCCUCUCAAAUAGGCAAGUGCCGGCAAAACGUUCCCUAUGACGACGGUAUACACGACGUCGACCGUCAGGACAACAAAAGAGUAAACCAGGACUCAUCUUUGAAAAAGACACGUCUCCAUUGCCUCAUCGGAAAUCGUCUGGGAACAUGUGCCGCCAACCAAGCGAUACGACGCGCCCGACGUACACGAGUGAGAGGCAGACCAACGGAAGGACGACGAUCUCGCAGACCAACCACGCGCAAUCGGUUCCUUACAGGUUUUGGGUGAAUGUGGUGAAUGAUUCCUUACCGUAUUAAUAGUGGUUUCAAGGCAGUAACGUGGCAAUUUCAUGGGUGGGCAAGACAAAUAUCCCUGUCUUGAUGUCGCGUCGUUACGCGCAGACGUCCCGAUCGCGAUCAGUCAGACACCUUUCCGUUGUCUCACAGACGACGGACAAGACAUUCUAUGAUUGAAACAUUCACACCGAACUGCAAAGCAACAUUGUGUUGCCUUUGACCUUACCUCAAUAAUGCAAUAGCCUGACCCCUCUAGUUUUUCCAUCAGCUGUGCCAUGAUUGCAAGAUAUUCAACUUGACAGUAAAUAGCGGAAGCGAUGUGUAUACCUUAAGGAGUAUCAAGUGGUAUGAACAGAUAUGUUGACGAACUUGUCAUAAUUAUUCUGCACGUUUUUUUUGUUUUUGUUUUGUUUUUGUUUUUGCUUCAUUUUAACACUUUCACUAUGUGGCACGGUACCUUGGAGGGUUUAGUAACUUUAGACACCAGUUUGAGUGAAGGUGACCAAGAUACUCGUCUGUUCGGUUUUCAUAACUUAAUGCCAAGCAGUUAAAUAAUUGUUGCAUAUGUUGUUCCCAUGCGCUUCUUUAUCCUUUCAGUAUAUAUUUUUAGGGUCAUUUGUACUAGAAGGUAGGCGCAGAAUAAACAUACAAGCUUGUCUAUAUGGUGGUACACGGUUAAAUAUAUCUACACUGAUGUUUACGGUCAUUUGUACUGAUACAUUCAGUGAGAUCAUCUUGAACGAGUUUUUGAUAACGUCAAUUGGCAAAAAUUUGUUAAUCAUUUGAAGAUCGUUCAUAACUGACUGUAAAUAGAAUAGAAUCUCUGUUUCAAUUCCUUGCAUACCAGAAAAACACUUAAGUUCUUUCUUUCUACGGUGUUUCCAUUUUUAAAAUUAUCAUCGACAAAACUUAAUUCCUGCAUCCGGGUAUAUUUGGGAUACUUGUACUGGUAAGUAGGCGUUCAGUAUUACUGUCAGUACGGGGGAUACAGGCCUCGUAAUAUUCAUGAGUAGGAGCGUUUGUAGCAUUUACGUUAACUUUUGUUAUUCGUGAAAAGACAAGUAUAGCAGAUAUGUUUGUUUUUAUCUAAAAAGCGUAUUGGGGAAAAACACGAGAUAUACAUGUAGUAAAUUAAGGGAGUUUUCGGGACGAUACCCUAAACAUGUGGUGGAUUUCUAAUGUUUGGCAAUAAGAGGAAUCCAGAACACUUUAGCGUCCUACUCACGGAUUGGUCUGUUAAAUCGUCAUUUUAAAAGAUCUAUUAGAGUACAUGACUAUAUAAAGUAGGCGGUGGCUAGAAACGGGUAUUUUGGUACAAAGGUAAAACCUACGUAUCUUUCUUCAUAAUGUCGGAAAUGUAUCCGAGUGUAAACACACUCUGUCGCGCCAAAUGGUUGUUAUUACAUAAAGGAAGUAUUGCGAUAGAUACUGCACAAUCAUUUGACAAGAAAUCUAACAAAACAGCUCACGGUACAUUUUUCUUAAAACCAUCUGAUAUAUUGGUGUCUUUAUAAAUAUCCUUUUUACGAUGACUCAUCGUUUUCUUUAUGAAGACUCAAAACAUAUGAUCGUUGACCAAUCAAGUUCUCCCCCAGUAGACUGUCUUUUAAUGAAGUUAUGACAAAUCACAUGAUACCAUAAUAACAGGACAAUGGUGACGUCAAGAUCUAACCACGGCGUUCUAACGCAUUGCUAUACAGUUUUGUAUGGGUAUGGUUGUAGUGGUAAUUACAGGCGUAGAUGGCAUAUAUCCAGGACCUCCACUGCUGUGUGUUGGGAUGGGGUGACGACGCUAUUACGGGGACAAUUCUUUUAUGAUCAGAUCAUAUGAUAAACAUUUCAAAACAGUCUAAGGUACGGUACACAUAGUUAUGUCAAAAUCAAAUGAUUUAAAUAUUCUGCUUGUUUACAAUGAUUCAACUGGUAUAUCGCUAUUCGUUUCCAAUUGAUGUCUACACACAAUGUACAAAGUUUCAAUAGAUUGACUUGGAAUAAAGCAUUUAUUCUUUCAGGGUUAUAACGAAAGACAAUGGUAGUGUCACAGAGAACCGACAAAGUAGUAGCCGACCCGAUAUACUAUAGAAAUGGCGCAAUUGUAAGUAGGUGUUUGUGUGGAUAAUACACAGUUAGAUACAGUUGUGUAUAAACAUGUGUACUUGAUAGUGGGAACACAAGACAACACCUUAAUUAAUUUUACCUUUAAAAUUUAGAAAUUUCAGCCAAAAAUAAAAUUACAUGCACCAUACAACUGUUUCGUCCUCCUUAGGUUAAUCAGUGAUGCUAGAGGCAAAAAUGGUUUCAAUGCAAAUUGGUCAAAACUACUGUUUAAGCAGAAGGUAGAGUGCAAAAAACCGCAAUAUCAGAUCAAUUUGAGAACUCAAAAGAGUAAUGGUUGAUUUUAAAUUAAUGCGAAAGAUGUAUAUACUAUGUACCGUGCCACUAUUCAAAAGAGAUAACUGUGGCCAUCAAUGUUAUGGCAAACUUUGUGGAUUACAGUAGUCCACCAGCAAAGUCUUUCACCUUGAAAAGAUGAACGCAAUAUGUCUUGGAUCUAUGAAAUUUGAUCAUAUAUACUGCAUACCGGAAAUUAAUUAUGCUGCAACAUAUUGUUGUACUGCCUGUAUAUGUACAUAAUUAAGAGUAAGUUAACUGUAAGUACAUACAAUUUACAUUAAAAUGCAUUAUUACUGGCAAUAAGACGUAAAUUUGAUUAAUCAGAAGACUUAAAUGUAUAUAAGUAUUGGUUCCUUUGUACUGGUAGGAAUGUACACAAAAUAUAAUAUACCAAUAUUUGUUUUCAUUUUAUUUAUUUUUAAUUCUGUUUUGCUUACUUUUUAUAUUGGACCCAUCACCACCAUCAAUAGCAGCUACUUAUUAACAAUAUGGUUCCCCAUAGCUCCAUCUAGCCAGAAGUUUGGAAAGGUAGCUAUAUGCGUAAGAGUGUUUGUCUAAAACCACUGAUUCCACUAUCCUUAAUAGAAGAAAUCGAAUCCUCAAAUGCAUAUACAUUUCCCCAGUAAAGUUUAUUAUUUCGGUUCCUUGUCUAUGUUUUUACCUGACCCCGAUGUUAGUGUUAUAUUACGGUGCGGCGAUCACAACUGUCAGUACGGAGUAUGCUACACAUUUUAUUUAUUAUUUUAAGGUUAUUUCUUAAGUUGGUAUUUUUAUAGAAAGUUCAACCCUAAUUUAAUGAUGAACUUGUAAGUCUUCUGCAUCCAACGCCUUCAAGUGAAAAAUGAUCAUUUAGAUUAUGUUAAAUAUGUGAGUGAAAUAUAUUUUGUACAAUAGAUGUUGCCAAAGAAUUCAGAUCAUGUAAUUUAAACUCAACUUAUGUCAUACAAAUCGUAUAUCUUCUACACCAAUGUGAAGAAUGGACGUUCAAAUACAUAAUAAAGGCCUAUUGGAAGAAUUAUCACUUGAAUAGACCAUUUUUCGCAACAAGCAUUAAUUCAUAUCAAAUAAUAACAAGAAAGAAAUUUCAUCAAAUUCGAUUACAAUAUAAGGCUGCUUCACCGUCAAAUAGUCCCCUCCCCAAAUUGAUAUCAUGUAUGUGUAAGGUCAUUGUUGCUCUAACAGUAAACGUGUACUGAUCAUUAGAGGACCGUUUUUUAAUAUCUUCAGUAAUUUGCAUACUUGUAUUGAUGCAGAUUUGUUUAUAGAAUGGUGGUUAUCAUCAUUGAAAAUUUUAGUUGCAAUAACAUAAAUGGAAAGAAGUUUAAAAAUUCUGCUAACCUAACAAGUAAGAAAAAAUAAAAAUAAAAAUAUAGAGGUACUUAAUUUAAGGGACGAUAUCCUAAAUAUGAGUAAGAAUACCGAACACCACUUUUGGUAUAAAAGUGCACUUCAUAAUUGAGAAAAUGGCUUUGAUAAGAAUAAUAACUAUGUAUCUUUUCAAAAACGAGUCACUGUAUUUGAGCUCAAAAAAAGGGCUGACGCUCAGACGAGAAUUAUUGCACAAUACAUGACUGUUUUUCAACAAACUACCACACGAUACAACUAUCUUUGUUAAAACCACGUCUUCCUCGGUAGACUGACUUUGUAUGAAGCAUUUAUAAAUCGCACGAUAACAUUAUAUCAGGACAACAAUGAUCACGGUUUAAAUAAAGAGUAUUAGUCAUCCCAAUAUAGUCAGUGUACACGUAUAAAAGAUGUCCAUCUCGUCUGAAUAUCUACAUUGCUUCUGCGUGUAUUGCGUCUAUUUAGCUUUUUAAUUUAGUAGCAUGCACAUAGGGCUGUCUGUAACAGGAGCUUGCUAGGUGCGUGUACAGUACACAUUUCAGGCAUACGAUAACACAUUUAGACAUCACCAAAAGAACCUGCCAAACCUUCAAAAAUAUGUGUUUGACUAGAGACGUUAAAGUUUUGUCUGUGUGCUUUUAAACUUACAUUUCAAUAACAUUUUUGUGACAUUUAAUCUUCUGCACCUCGCAAAUCGAGAAAUAUAGCUUGAUUAGGUACUACUACUCGACAAUUACGUUAAAGUAUAUUAUAAAAUAGUAGAUAUUUGAAUCACACUUAUGUAGAGUAACCGAAGAAGGUGUACUCACGCGGUGAACAUACCUUUAUUGGUUUAGACGAUGGUGGGACUGAGGGGUUGUAAUGCAUGUUUAUAAUACACAGUACGUUUUAGCAUGUAUAUGGUCGUUUGUACUGGUUGCGUAAAUAUAUACAGCAAUGGGUUUUCACAUACUGUUCUUACUUAAAUGUAUGUACAUGUAGGCCUUUUUUUACCAGCAAAUAUUGAUGUUUAUAAAAAAACAGCGAUAAAUGAUUUGAGAUUUAUUUAUUAGCAAAAACAUUGUAUAUUGUGCAAUCUUAAGUCUAUAACAGGAGCGAGGUGUAUGUACAGAGUAUCAUUCAGGUUUUGUUCCUCGAUAAAACAAAGGCACAAUAAAAAAACAGGGACAUCCUACAAAGUGUGCUAUCGUUUGUUCGACUGGAGAUUUUAUAGCGUUGUCUGCGUCCUUUAAAAAUUCACACGUCGAUUACAAUGGCUCGACUUUUUAUCUUCUGGGUCUCAUACGUCGAAAAACAUAUAGCUUGACGAGAUAUUGUCUCUAAACACGUAUUUGAUAUAUCAUUUAGAUUGAUAGUCGUAUCAGGUAUUUCUAUCACACUAACGUAAAGUCAUGAAGGAAAUAUACUCUUACCAAUGGGCAAGCACAAAUUUUCAACAUAGCACAUUUAUUUUCCGUUUUGCAAAGAAAAAGAACCCUGAAUAAAAACAAAUGAUAAAAGGAUAUAUAUGCAAAAAAUGUUUCACGAAAAGAAAUAUCUCACUCUGUCCAAUUGGACAAUAAUAGCAAUGUUGUUAAGUGUAUAAUGAUUGAAGUUGAGUUUGCUUGUGUAUGUGCAAUCAAGCAGUGGAGUUACGAAAUAAAAAGCGAGUUCGAUGAUAUCCUGUUGAUUCGGUAGCCGUUGCCUUGACCUUAACCAUAUGACCGCGACAUUAAUGUUAUUUUCUGUAUAUUGAAAUCAGAAUAUAAAUAUUUAGUUUAAGUUUCAUAAAAUUAAUGUUCCAGAUAUUAAUACUUUGGCAAAAAAA